rnacentral:tRNA from 1 species
ACCGCGAUAGCUCAGGUGGUAGGGCAUCUGCCCGACAAGCAGACGCUCUCUAGUCUGAUUCUGACUCUCGGUG